UUAAUAAAAAUUUUCAUCUUUCUCGAUUGUUAUCUCUGAGAUCUCAAUUCACCGGCGGUUCCAAACGGAGAACGAUGAAGCAGACAAAGAAACGAUUCCCAUGAGCAGCCAAUCCAAUCCUUAUUUCCCCACAACCUUGAAGCAUCCCAGAUAUCUCCAUGAACAACAAAUACUUUUUUAUCUUCAUCGAGAUCUCUCCGUUUAGGUGCCUCUUAGUCCAUAUUUUUGAUAGAGAAGUUACUCUUAUGAUUCCUGCGAUCUUUCAUGAUUUUGAUGCUAUUAUGCUUGCUUAAUUGAUAAUCAAAAGUCUGUUGGUUUCAAUCUCGCGCUGCUUAGUCUCCCAUCUCUUCUUCCCUGCUAGCAUUUCAUGGAAAUUGAUAGUAUACCCGGUCUGAUGUCUCAGGAAGACCUUCCUAAACUCCAUGGAAGCUUUGCUAAGUAGUUGUUCAACUCGUUCAAGUAGUUGUUCCCAUGGAAUCUGCUCAAUCUUCUCUUAUCUUGGCAAUCUCAUCCUCGUUCAGAGUUCGAAGUCUUGUAUUUUGAAAAUUCAGGAAGCAUUGUUGAGAAUUCAGGAAGACUUUCCUCAAACAUAUUUCCAGAUUUCAAUUUUUAUCCCAAAAAAUAGGAUUGAAGAUUUCUCCAAGCUAUGUGAUGUAUCUACAUACGACACAAGAUGCAAGUAUUAUUUGGAUAUAGUUAAAGAGUGUGUUGACAUUUCAUAGGUCUAUAUUCCUUUUAUCCAGUUUUACUUUAUCUGUUUUUAGACAUGUAUGAUGUUUGUGAAACAUUUUUGGAUUGUUUUUGUACUUGUGUGAUGUUUUUGUGCCAUGACAAUGUCAUAUGUUUCUGUGUUAGCAUUUAGUUUUAACGGUGA